rnacentral:lncRNA from 1 species
UUCUUUCAUUUGUUUCUUUUUUUCUUUUCUUCCUUUUUUUCUUUCUUUUUCUUUUAUCUUUCUUUCUUUUCUUUUCUUUUUGUUUCAUUUUCUUAUCCCUUCCUUUCUUUUUUUUCUUUUUCUUAUUCUUUCUCUUUCCUUUCUUCCUUCUUCUCUUUCUUUUUCUUCUUCAUUUUUCUUCUUCUUCUUUCCUUUCACUUUUUUCCUUUCUUCAUCUUCCUUUCUUUCUUUCCUCUUUCUUCUUCUUCCCCUGCACGGAUGUGUUUCAAAAUCCCGACCCCGUCCAGAUUCCGUUUUCUCACAAGAAUAGGAUGGGACGGCCAAGAUGCCCCCCAUCCCGCGGGACAUAAAAUCUUGUGCUUUAACACUUUGCAAGUGUUCUCAAUUAUCUUCUAAUAGAUAUCUACCAGUUAUUAGAACAGCAUAGCAAUUUUAUAAGUGUAUCUAACUUCAAGUUCCAAGUAAUGAAAAUUUUCUAUAGAAAAAGUUCCAAAUAAUAAAGAACAGGAAAAUUAACAGAUAGAAUGAAAAUGGGAGACUUAAAGGGGAUUGAUGACGAUUGGCUAAGUAGUUUGAGCUUCUAUGCAACUACAGCAUCUCCAAAUAUGACUCCUUGCAAAAAUAUCCAUGAAGUAUGCUCUCUUGAUAACUAUAGGUAGAACUUUAGUUUUGCUUUAAGAAAAUUAUUUUACUAGAGCAUAGAAGUCGUGAUCUUGAAUUGCGAAUAGGAGAGCUAAGCUCCAAGAAUUGGAAUCAUAGUAUGCUCUCUUGAAAAAGUGAGACUUAAAGGGCAUUGAUGCAGAUAGGCUUAGUUAAGUAGUUUGAGCUUCUACGCAACUACAGCAUCUCUUGGUAUGACUCCUUGCAAAAAUAUCCAUGAAGUAUGCUCUCUUGAUAACUAUAGAUAGAACUUUAGUUUUUUUAUGAAAAUUGUUUUACUGGAGCAUAGAGGUCAUGAUCUUGAAUUGCAAAUGGGAGAGCUAAGCUCCACAAAUUGGAAUCAUAAUAGGAGGAUCAGUAGCCCUUCUUUCUUAUUUUCUUGGCAGCAUCUCUAAUUUUAUCCAAACACAAUUUGUGAUUUCCAAUAAUCUUCAAAACGCACAAAAAAAUGGGUUUCUUGAAUGUGUUUUGAAAACUUGAGUAAAAUCUUUAAAGUUCAUGAAUUAUGCUCUCACUUUAGCAACCUUUGGCAGCUACAUAAUUAGAGAUCAAUAACAACAUAGAAUAUCUUCAGAUAUAUGGUAAAAACUAGUUAAUGUUUAUAAUAUCAUUUCUUAUUAAGAUUGUGAUGUCAAGUACAGUGAUGACAUAUUGUAAGCUAGUUCUGACCAGUCAGAUCAUUGCAUUAUCAAUUAGUAAGCCGUUAAUAACUUAAUAUACCAAAAGUAGGAUAGGAUACAUAUACUUUGCAUUCUACAUGGAUAUCCCAAAAAAUAGAACAUCACCCCUUUUGGGCAAUCUUACGGUCUUACCAUUUAGAUUGUCAGCAAAGCAAGAGUGCCAUUAAUACACUGCUCACACAGAACUAUUAAAGCAUAAUUUUAGAACAUUAAUAUCUGAUAAUAGCAACACUACCUAGGAACUAGUAUCACCUCUGGUGCUGUGUGAGAAAGUAUUCAAUAGGAAGUCCUCCUUUCAUUACAAAGUUCCAUUAGAAGUGUCAUGUAAACCAAAAUGGAAGAUUUUUAGGACUGCAGUGGGGCAACAAAGUAGAUAGUUGACUCUAAUUGCAUAGAUUAGAACAUUUGGUUGAGAAAUUCUUGCACAAGACAACCCAAUUUUAACAAAUAAAAUAAAAGUUGCAUGAGAUUUUAGUUAAAAUAUUUAUUUCGAUAUUCAUCUACUAUUCCAAAUGUAGGGAAACUCUCUCCUCUUCUUUUUUUCAUACCAAUUUCUUCUGACUUCAACUAGAUUCUUAUUUUUGAUGGUACUCCUACCGACUUUGAAGUCGCCAAUUUGACUCUAACAAAUAAUAUAUCUAACAAAGAAAGAUGCCAAAGAGAACCAAAAUGAAGAGAUCUGCAGCAUUACCUGAUCAACCAAGCAUCACUUUACCAACAAUGAAAUUUGUACUGGGUCCCAAUUGAAAUGAAUCUAGUUCCAAUGCUUCACAAGAAUGAAGAAUAAAUAAUCAAUCGCAGCAAACUAUACGUGGUUUACAACUAAAUAAGUUACAACCCUUUCUCGUCAGUAUGAAAAGAAAAAAAAUAAUAAUAACUUUGAAAGAAUAUCCCUUCUCAUUAAGGAUGAAAGAACCCUGCUCUCUACAGCAUUGGCAAAAAAGUCCGAGUGUUAUCGAACAAAUAAGAAUUAGAAACAGUUAAUAACCCCUGAAUAGAAUCACAUGAAAGAAAACUGAAGAAGAUCUCGUAAGAGAAUGACCUAAUAUAAUUACUUUCAAGAGCAAUACCAAAGAGAGAUACUCACAAAGAAACCUCUUGAGAGACCCAUCCACAUGCUGCUUCUAUUUUCUGUUUAAUGCCCCUACUCAAUCUAGAGAGAGCACAUCUUGUACACUUAUCCAUCUUCUCUCUCGUCUAUUAAUUUUUCUUUAUGCUGAUCCAAGAGAAGAAAUUGCCCACCAUUUCUCUUUGCUCUCUUCUGCUGCUCAGAAUUGC